rnacentral:rRNA from 1 species
AUGCCGGAGUGCUUGCACUUGGAUGGACUGAGUGGCGGACGGGUGAGUAACGCGUGGGUAACCUGCCUUAUACAGGGGGAGUAACAGAUGGAAACAUCUGCUAAUACCGCAUAAGACCACGGGAUCACAUGGUUCUGAGGUAAAAGAUUUAUCGGUUUGGGGUGGGCUCGCGUCCGAUUAGGUAGUUGGUGAGGUAAUGGCCCACCAAGCCGACGAUCGGUAGCCGACCUGAGAGGGUGAUCGGCCACAUUGGGACUGAGACACGGCCCAAACUCC